ACCUGAGUGGCUCAGUGGGUUGAGCGUCCAACUUUGGCUCGGGUCAUGAUUUUGUGGUUAGUGGGUUCAAGUCCCAUGUCAGGUU
rnacentral:tRNA from 1 species